CAAGUGAUUAUCUGAGGGAGCUUGGUUUCAAUAAAAGAAAACUUGAAUGCCUCAGUCUACAGGCAGAGGGAGAGUUAUUUGAGCUUGCCACCAUGAUCAUGGGUACACACCCAUCCGAAUACUCUUUCCCCCAAAAAUUCGAGGACCAGUUUGCCGACUGUGAAAGCGAG